rnacentral:rRNA from 1 species
AGCCUUGAUGUGUAGGAUAGGUGGGAGGCUUUGAAGUGUGGACGCCAGUCUGCAUGGAGCCGACCUUGAAAUACCACCCUUUAAUGUUUGAUGUUCUAACGUGGACCCGUAAUCCGGGUUGCGGACAGUGUCUGGUGGGUAGUUUGACUGGGGCGGUCUCCUCCUAAAGAGUAACGGAGGAGCACGAAGGUUGGCUAAUCCUGGUCGGACAUCAGGAGGUUAGUGCAAUGGCAUAAGCCAGCUUGACUGCGAGCGUGACGGCGCGAGCAGGUGCGAAAGCAGGUCAUAGUGAUCCGGUGGUUCUGAAUGGAAGGGCCAUCGCUCAACGGAUAAAAGGUACUCCGGGGAUAACAGGCUGAUACCGCCCAAGAGUUCAUAUCGACGGCGGUGUUUGGCACCUCGAUGUCGGCUCAUCACAUCCUGGGGCUGAAGUAGGUCCCAAGGGUAUGGCUGUUCGCCAUUUAAAGUGGUACGCGAGCUGGGUUUAGAACGUCGUGAGACAGUUCGGUCCCUAUCUGCCGUGGGCGCUGGAGAACUGAGGGGGGCUGCUCCUAGUACGAGAGGACCGGAGUGGACGCAUCACUGGUGUUCGGGUUGUCAUGCCAAUGGCACUGCCCGGUAGCUAAAUGCGGAAGAGAUAAGUGCUGAAAGCAUCUAAGCACGAAACUUGCCCCGAGAUGAGUUCUCCCUGACUCCUUGAGAGUCCUGAAGGAACGUUGAAGACGACGACGUUGAUAGGCCGGGUGUGUAAGCGCAGCGAUGCGUUGAGCUAACCGGU